rnacentral:lncRNA from 1 species
UUUUACCCCAAAUUUGGGUCCUUCCAUUACAGAAAUCCCAAAAUUCUGAUGGUUUGGGGCUUUUUGGGGGGAAUUUGGGAAUUUUUUGUGUUUAUCUCAAAUAUUUUGGGGUUUUUCCUUCUCCCUUCUCUUCCAGACUUUCUGAAGCCACAAUUCCAGAUUUCCCUUGGAGUUUUUUCCCAAUUUUUGGAGUUUUCUUCUCAAAAUUUCUGAUUUUUUUCCCCAGUUCAAAUUCCAAACUGGAGCUUUUUGGGCCAUUUUUUGGGGGAAUUUUUGGGAUUUCUCCCAAAUAUUUUGGGGUUCCCGCCCCUUUAUCUCUGGGAAUGAAAUUUUAUUUUCUGGGAAUGAAAUUCUCAAAUUCCCUCCGAGUUUUUCCCAUUUUUUGGGGUUUUCAGCCCAAAAUCUGGGCCCUUUCCAGUUACAAAUUGAGAAUUUUUGAACGUUUUCUUUGGGAAUUUUUGGGAUUUCUCCCCAAUUUUUGGGUUUCCCACCCUUUAUUUCAUUCCAGACUUUCUGAGGGUGAAAUCCCAAAAUUCCCCCUCAGGUUUUUCCCAUUUUUCGCCGUUUUCACCCCAAAUUCCCCCAAUAAAAAUCUGCAGCAGCUCCUUCCUUUCUGGGCUCGUUUCUUUGGGAAUUUCUUGGGAAUUUCUUGGGAAUUUCGGGAUCUUUGCCCCAAAUAUUUUGGGUUUCUGUUUUUUUCUUUUCCCGCACUAUUUUAGGAGCAGAAUCUCGAAUUUUCCACCCCUUUUUUUACCUUUUUCUUCCCGUUUUUCCCCCAAUAACAACACCGACACCUCCCUCGUUUCUGGGCUGGUUUUUUGGGGGGAUUUUCGCAGGAAUUUCACUGAAAUUUCCCCGGAAUUUGUUCCGGAAGUUUCUGUCUCAGAGCCGGAGCACGCAGGAGUUGCCGUGGGUCAGGGUUUGUUCCGGAAGGUUCCAGAAGGUUCUCUCUCUCUCACAACCGCAGCACGUAGCUGUCGCUGUGGGUCAGGUUCUGCAGUCGCUGUGGGUCAGGUUGGUUCCGGAAGGUUCUAGAAGGUUCCAGAAAGUUCUGUCACAGCCUGAGCACGUAGCUGUCACUGUGGGUGAGGUUUGUUCCGGAAGGUUCCGGAAGGUUCCAGAACGUUCUCUCUCACAGCCGCAGCACGUAGGAGUCGCUGUGGGUCAGGGUUGUU